rnacentral:rRNA from 1 species
UACAGGGGGUGCAAACGUUGCUCGGAAUCAUUGGGCGUAAAGCGCACGUAGGCGGUUCGUUAUGUCGGAUGUGAAAGCCCUUGGCUUAACCGAGGAAGUGCAUCCGAAACUGGCGAGCUAGAGUACUAAAGAGGAUCGCGGAAUUCCCAGUGUAGAGGUGAAAAUUCGUAGAUAGUUGGGAAGAACACCGGUGGCGAAGGCGGCUCACUGGCUCAUUUACUGACGCUCAGGCGCGAUAGCGUGGGAUCAAACAG